ensembl:lncRNA
CACAUGAAUCAGUCAAGGGUGUACAUGUGUUCCCCAUCCUGAACCCCCCUCCCCAUCCCAUCCCAGUGCACCAGCCCUGAGCACCCUGUCUCAUGGAUCUAACCUGGACAGAUUUCUGCUAAGAGAAAUGAGAGACUAGUCCUGACCCCAGAACUAGCACAGAGCACCGAGAGAGGCUCAGGAUCAAGAGAACAAGAAGAAAAACAGAAGUUCAACUAGUGUUUCACAUCUGGCAUCACCCUGGAAGAACCUUCACGGGACUGGGGGAUCCUGAGGACCAAGGCUCUCACCAGGCAGACUCCCAGCUCAAGGAGGUGGCACUAGUAAGGAGCCUGCCUGCAAAUGCAGGAGACGUAAGAGAUUCGGGUUCGAUCCCUGGGUCAAGAAGAUCCCCUGGAGAAGGGCAUGGCAACUCACUCUAGUAUUCUUGCCCGGAGAGUCCCGUGAAGAGAGAACCUGGAGGGCUGUAGUCCACGGAGUUGCAAAGAGUCAGACACAACUGACGCUACUGAGCAUGCUUGUUUCUCCUUGCAGCACAAAAGCUGGUAGAAUGAAGUGGGUGUAAGAGUUAAUGUCCAAAGGUGGAAAUCAAGGUGAUAUGGAGCCCAUCAUUUCAAAAUAAUCAUCAGGUUUGCUAUGUUCAAUUAAGGAAAUCCUAGCCUUAAAAAGCUUGGCAAGGCUAGUCCUAGGAGGAUGCUAUAUGUUCAGGAACCCAUGUGACUGAUGCAAGGGGAAAUGGACACACAAAGGAAAGCCUUCCUGCCUCUACUGUGAGUCUUAGAACCACAAACAGGGAGAAAAGGGCACCACACUGAGCACCACUCCUCAGGUGCUCAGCCAGUCACUCUAUGCAUGUCAUUCCCUGCAGCCCUUACAGCAACCUUGUAAGAACUUAUUUUGCUAUUAACGGUACUGAGGUUCACAGCCCAGACUCCCAGCUAGUAAGUGGCAGAGCCGUGACCUGAAUCCAGAUCUCUCCAUCACUGAACCUCCCCACUAUUCAACUCCAUGUCACCAGAACGGGGAUCCUUCUGUCGCUCGGUUACACAGAGGAUGAAAGAGUACUAAUGACUCCAGGUGUCUGCAGAGCCUCAGAAUCCAAAAUCCAUCCAUCCAUUCACUCGACGACCACUAAGCAUCUUCUAUGUGCUGGGCACUGUCCCAGAUGCUGGCAACGUAGCAGUGAACAAAGACAAAGCCUAUGGUUUGCGUUCAAGAUAAAGAAUAAACAAUCUUAG